UCCCUGAUAGUCUAGUGGCUAAGAUUCCAGGCUCCCAAUGCAGGAGGCUCAGGUUCAAUCCCUGGUCCAGGAA
rfam:TPA: Bos taurus chromosome 2, whole genome shotgun sequence.